UCAGACAUCUGGAAAUUGAAGAGUAAAAUUAUAAGCACGGGAAACUCUAGCUAGAAGAGAAAAUGUAGUAGGAAAAAAUAACUAUUAUGUACUCCCUUUGCAACCCUCGAUUAACAACAUAUUAAUUGACAAUAUCAAAGAUUUUUCCGUGUCCAAAAACCAGACCAAGAUAGCCCCCACAUUAAGCUCCUAUUGCGAUGGUAUCAAAACCUAUUUUGUAUCUCCUGUCAUAGGGUGAGGGCCAAAUCAAUAUCCAAGUCUACAUAACAACAAAAUAACUAUAAUAGAAAGAGCAAGGGUAACCAAUUAUCAAACCAGAACUGCCUUCCAUUUAAGCUUGAUUAAAAACCACACAACAAUCAAGCAUCUGGAAAUUGAAGAGAAUAAAGAUAAGUAUGAGAAAGUCUAGGUGGAAGAUAAAUUUUAGUAGAAAAAAUUACUAUAAAAUACUCCCUCUGCUACCCUGGAUAAAACCUAUAUCAGAGACAGCGUGAAAGGUUUGAUCUGUGUCCAAUAACUUGACCAAGAUUAGCCCCACCUUAUGCUCCCUACUUUGAUAAAAUCAAAACUUAAAUUUUAUCUCCUGCCAUAGGAUGAGGAGAAAACAAUAUCCACGUCUACGUAGCAAACAAAAAACUGAUGAAAAAGAGAACCAAGCAUCAAACCAGAAGUGUCUUCAAGUUAAGAACCACACAACGACCAGACACCUGGGAUUGAAGAGUAUAACGAUGGAGAGUAUAACGAUAAGAACCAGAAACUCUGGGUAGAAUAGAAUAUGUAGAAGAUAAAAUACUAUUCUGUUCUCCAUCUGCCUCCCUCAAUAAACACUAUAUCAAUGCCGGCAUCAUAGAUUAGUCCAUGUCCAAAAACCCAACCAAGAUAGCCCCAACUUAGAGCUCCUACUUUGAUAGAAUUAAAACCUAUUUUGUAUCUCCUGUAACAGGGUGAGGCCCAAAACAAUAUCCAAGUCAACAUAACAACACAAAAACUACAUUUACAGAGCAAACGUAACCAAUUAUCAAACCAGCCUUCCCGUGAAGCUUGAUUAAGAACCACACAGAGAUCAGGCAUCUGCAAAUUGAUGAGAACAACAGUAAGCACGCGAUAGUCUAGGGAGAAGAUAAAAUGUUGUAAAAAAAAAUACUAUUCGAUACUCCCUCUGCCACACUCGAUAUUAACAGCGUCAAAGGUUUAUCUUCCGAUAACCAGAUUAGCCCCACCUUAAGCUCCUUCUUUUAAUACUUAAUUUUUAUCUCCUGUCAUAGGGUGAGGCAGAAAACAAUAUCCACGUCUACGUAACAAACAAAAAAUUGUUGAAACUGACAAAAGAUAACCAAGCAUCAAACCAGAAGUGCCUUCCAGUUAAGAACCACUGAACCACACAACGAAUCAUCAGACAUCUGGAGAUUGAAGAGUAUAACUAUAAGCACGGGAAACUUUAGGUAGAAGAGAAAAUGUAGUAGAAAAAAAAUACUACUCCAUGUACUCUUCCUAUUGCCACCCUUGAUUAACAAUAUACCAAUGACAGCAUCAAAGAUUUUUCCGUGCCAAAAACCAGACCAAGAUAGCCCCCACAUUAAGCUCCUAUUGUGAUAGAAUCAAAACCUAUUUUGUAUCUCCUGUCACAGAGUGAGGCCCAAAACAAUAUCGAGUCUACAUAACAACAAAAGAACUAAAAUAAAGAGAGCAAAGGUAACCAAUUAUCAAACCAGAACAGCCUUCCAGUGAAGCUAGAUUAAGAAGCUCAGAGCGAUCAAGCAUCUGAAAAUUGAUGAGAACGGUAAGCAAGGGCAAGUCUAGGUAGAGGAUAAAAUGUUGUAAAAAAAUUACUAUACUAUACUUCCUCUGCAACCCUUGAUAAAAACACAAUAUCAAUUUGUCAGCGUCAAAUGUUGGUCCGUGGCCAACAACCAGACCAAGAUUAGCACCACCAUAAGUUCCUAAUUUGAUAGAAUCAAAACAUAAUUUUUAUCUCCUGUCAUAGGGUGAGGCAGAAAACAUAAAUUCAUCAUGAUGAUCUUGAGGCUCCUCACCAGCGAUUAAUCUGUGGCCAGAGAAGAGAACAAUUGAGUAAAUUCAUAACUAUCAGCGUUUCCACCAACUGCCGAUAACCAUCAAACUAUCAGCGCGAAAGGAAAAGGACAAAAUAAACCUUCUGGCUUGAGAGAUCACGAGCUAUCCAAUCGGUUGCCCUACAGAUACAAACGAAAGUAAGCCCCGAUAACCAAUACGGCAGAGGAAAUCAUGAUCUAAAUAGACCGUCAAAACUUGAACUAUAAAAUCUGCACUCGUUGCGAAUAACUGAAUAUUAACCCAAAUCAGCAGAAGGAAUCACAAUAACCGAUCUACACAAAUCAAAUACGUCAAAGUAGAUUGAACAGAAAUCCUCCGCUAGGUCAUCUAUCCUCGCCGCCAUAUGUCAUACCAGACAGGGAAGGCUAAUGGAAAUCGCAACACAAGGAGAGAGUAACCCGAUCGAAAACACAAAACUUAAUCGCCAACGAAAUCGCACCACAAAACACAAUAACCCUAGAUAUGAAUUCAGGAGAAGAGGGCCACAAUAGAAGAAAAAUAAUAGCGAAACACGCAAAGAGGGGGGAUGGGUAGGAGAAUGUGGGGAGAUAUGGUAUAUAUAGUGAGUCAUAGAGAGACUUG
rnacentral:lncRNA from 1 species